rnacentral:tRNA from 1 species
GGGGAUGUGUUGGAAUGGUAGACAAGGAGGUCUCAAAAACCUCUGGACGCGAGUCCAUGUGGGUUCAACUCCCACCAUCCCCA